rnacentral:tRNA from 1 species
GCGGGCAUGGCGGAAUUGGUAGACGCGCAAGAUUAAGGAUCUUGUGAGCAUUUUUUGCUCAUGGAAGUUCGAGUCUUCUUGCCCGCAUCA